rnacentral:rRNA from 1 species
AUACGAAAGGUGCAAGCGUUGUUCGGAUUUACUGGGCGUAAAGAGAGUGUAGGUGGUUUAUUAAGUCGGAUGUGAAAUCCCGGGGCUCAACCUCGGAACUGCAUUCGAUACUGAUAGGCUAGAGUUUGGGAGGGGUAAGCGGAAUUCCGUGUGUAGCAGUGAAAUGCGUAGAUAUACGGAGGAACACCUGAGGCGAAGGCGGCUUACUGGACCAAUACUGACGCUGAGACUCGAAAGCGUGGGUAGCAAACAGGAUUAGAAACCCUAGUAGUCC